rnacentral:rRNA from 1 species
AGGGAGAAAGGAAACUAACAUGGAUUUUUUUUUUGUAACGGCGAGUGAAGAGAAGACAAUAAGUUUAUCCCAAGAUUGGCAAGCUUAAAAUACUUGUCAAGGUUUAGGGUUUACAAAUGCAUCUGCUUACUUAUUUGCAAAUAUGUAGGGUAUGUAAAAAAAAAAAUUUUUUUUUUUUUUGUGUGCUGGAACUCGGCAUGUAUAAUGUUCUUGAAUGGGCAUCCAUAGAAGGGGAAAGACCGGUAUUAAGCAUUGAUCCGAGAACUCCCCAGUUCAGAUGUAUUUUAUGAGUCGGGUUGUUUGGUAUUACAACUUAAAUUAGAUUCGCAUCUUUUUGCGUUUCGAUUCAGUCUUUUUGUAUUAAAAAAAGAGUCACUGAGAGGGUGGUAAACUCCAUCUAAAACUAAAUAUAACAGGAAACCGAUAGUGCACAAGUACCGCAAGGGAAAGAUGAAAAAGAACCUAGUAAUGGGUAUGAAAUUAGAACGUGAAAUUGCUAAAGGGGAAGCGAUUGUCGGGUGUACUGGUAGCUGAAUUGGGAGGAAAAGGAGGGGUGUAAAAGCCUACCCGCCUCUUUUUUUUGGUUAUCGGAGUAAGUAAAAACCGACUACAAUUUUUCUGGAGUGUUUGUUAGCAAGUUUCGACGCUUUUUUAAAAAUUUUUUUUUUGAAAAAGAGGUCACUCUUGAAAAACAGCUCCCGUUAGAAAAAAAUUGUCAGCUAUUUUGUAAAAAAAAAAUUUUUUUUUUUUUACAGAGCAUCAGGCUUUUUUUUUGAGAAAAAUAGGACUAAAUGUCAGUAAUGACAAGGCAAAGUCGGUCCCCUUUUCCAUUAUUAAUUUUCAAAUAUUAUGGAAAACCAAGGGAGCAUCAUGAUAAUCAGCCCGUCUUGAAACACGGACCAAGGAGUGCAUUGUAUACGCGAGUGUAAAGGAUAUACAAUCAUGCUAAUUGUAUAAUAUGUAAAACCUUGACGCAUAAUGAAAGUGAUAAUUUUGAGUUGAGAUCCUAGUUAUUUCCUCAUAUGGCCAUUAAGAAGCCUUGACGUCCCGCAUUGUUGGGGCUAGACUGCCGUUUCUUCCCUUUUUCCUCAAAGAAAAAGGUGGAUAUCGCCGCAUCGGUUCAUGGAGAGAUUUUAGGCCUGACCGGCUUUAUUAUUGAAUUUAGCCGAGUUAAAGCGUGUAUAAUGCGACCCGAAAGAUGGUGAACUUGGCCUGAACUGGGUGACGGUAAAGAGAAAUUUUUACUAGAAGCCCUAAGCAGUUUUGACGUGCAAAUCGAUUGUGUGAGUUGGGUCAAGGGGCGAAAGACUAAUCGAACCAUCUAGUAGCUGGUUCCUGCCGAAGUAUCCCUAAGGAUAGCUGAGCUUGGAAACGUAGUUUUAUGCGAUAAGGCAACUGAUAAGAGUGAUUCACGAGUAUCCAUUGAUACUUUGAACUAUUAACAAACUUUAAAUGCGUAAUACUGGGAGUAAGUUACUGCAGCCUUUUUGAUGUGUAAGCCAAAAAUAUGUGGGCAGUUUGGAAGAAAUACCAGAGAUACUUGCUUUUUGGGCUGCAAUCGCUAUUUUUUAACUGUUACUGCAUUGCGUAUUCACAUUAAUGGAUGGAAUCCUUUUGUAGCUUAAAAAACGGGGAGUCUCAGGAAUAUCAUCCUUAAAAGAAGCAUAUUUCCUUGGAAACAUAGCAAAUGCUCAGGUCUCAAUAUUUAGUUAUAGAGAACUACUCCCGCAAUACAUCGAGCUUUAGUGGGCCAAUUUUGGUAAGCAGAAUUCUGGCGAUGUGGGAUGAACCAAACGCAGAGAUAAGGUGCCUAAAUAUCCGCUAAUCUAGAUCCCAAGAAAAGUGUCAGAUUAUAUAGACAACAGGACGGUGGCCAUGGAAGUUGGAACCCGCUAAGGAGUGUGUAACAACUCACCUGUCAAAUGAUUUGGUCUUGAAAAUGGAUGGCGCUCAAGCGGUUUACCGAUACUCUGCCGGAGUUAGGCUUUUGAGUAGCUUUUUAGACGUUAAAUCGCUCAUUUGCCCUCCGUGUAGGCAGGCGUAAGGGUUCCUUUCCUUAAAUUUAUUUUAAGGAGACCUGCGAAAAAGGACCUCGCGUAA